GAGUAGUGUGACAUGCCCGUUGGGUUGUACUCUGAUGUGUUUUUAAUUAUUAUUUAAUUACUUUUGGGUAACGGGGUGUUACAUUAAG
rnacentral:pre_miRNA from 1 species